UUCAUCAAUUCUGCCAUCUUGGCUCUUUCUCUUUUCUUGGUGGUGGUUCUGUGGUUUCACAAGAUAUUCCAAAGUACACAAUGGUAGCCGGAGAAAGAGCGGAGCUUCGGGGUCUAAAUUUAGUGGGCCUAACUCGACGUGGAUUCAGCACUGCAGAGAUCAAGAACCUUAAAGCAGUCUAUCGGAAGAUAUUCAUGCGUGCUGAUGCAAAUGCCGGGUCAUUCGAGGAUAGGCUUACCGAAGUGGUAUUUCUCUAUUUUGCUUUAUCGCUUUCAGGUAGCCAUGAUUUGUAGUAACUUAGCACUGUCACAUUAUAGAUAUAAUUGCGCUGGUGUGGUUAACCACCCCCUUCCCCCGGUGGCACACGCAAAAGAAAAAAAAAAAAAGAAAAAGGAAAGAAAACUGCAUGUUGCCUUUUGUCUGAUAUAAAUUUCUAACCUAAGGUUGUUAAUAAA